rnacentral:rRNA from 1 species
UACGGGGGGGGCAAGCGUUGUUCGGAAUUACUGGGCGUAAAGGGCUCGUAGGCGGCCAACUAAGUCAGACGUGAAAUCCCUCGGCUUAACCGGGGAACUGCGUCUGAUACUGGUUGGCUUGAAUCCGGGAGAGGGAUGUGGAAUUCCAGGUGUAGCGGUGAAAUGCGUAGAUAUCGGGAGGAACACCAGUGGCGAAGGCGGCGAUCUGGGAAGAUACUGACGCUGAGGUGCGAAAGCGUGGGGAGCAAACAGG